AGGACGAACGCUGGCGGCGUGCUUAACACAUGCAAGUCGAACGAGGCGCUUGCGCCUAGUGGCGAACGGGUGAGUAACACGUAAGCAACCUGCCCUUGGCUCUGGGAUAGCCUCCGGAAACGGGGAUUAAUACCGGACAUGACCUUCUCCUGCAUGGGGGAGGGUGGAAAGUUUUUCGGCCAGGGAGGGGCUCGCGGCCUAUCAGCUUGUUGGGGGGGUAACGGCCCACCAAGGCGACGACGGGUAGCC
rnacentral:rRNA from 1 species